rnacentral:rRNA from 1 species
AGCAUGUCUGUCUGGGUGUUGGUU